GACGAACGCUGGCGGCUUUCCUAAUACCUGCAAGUCGAACGCCCUCUCGUUUAGAUUUCAUGAGUUUGCUCCUGAUUGAUAAACAUUUGAGUGAGUGGCGUCCGGGUGAGUAACACGUGGGUAACCUGCCCUAAAGUGGGGGAUAACAUUUGGAAACAGAUGCUAAUACCGCAUAAAACCUAACACCGCAUGGUGUAGGGUUGAAAGAUGGUUUCGGCUAUCACUUUAGGAUGGACCCGCGGUGCAUUAGUUAGUUGGUGAGGUAAAGGCUCACCAAGACAGGGAUGCAUAGACGAACUGAGAGGGGAAUAGGCCAAAAUGGGAAUGAGAAAAGGACCAGACUACUAAGGGAGGCAGCAGUAGGGAAUCUUCCACAAUGGACGAAAGUCUGAUGGAGCAACGCCGCGUGAGUGAAGAAGGUUUUCGGAUCGUAAAACUCUGUGGUUGGAGAAGAAUGUAUCUGAUAGUAACUGAUCAGGUAGUGACGGUAUCCAACCAGAAAGCCACGGCUAACUACGUG
rnacentral:rRNA from 1 species